GAUGAACGCUGGCGGCGUGCUUAACACAUGCAAGUCGAACGGGAAACCUUUUAUUGAAGCUUCGGCAGAUUUAGCUGGUUUCUAGUGGCGGACGGGUGAGUAACGCGUGGGUAACCUGCCUUAUACAGGGGGAUAACAACCAGAAAUGGUUGCUAAUACCGCAUAAGCGCACAGGGCCGCAUGGCCCGGUGUGAAAAACUCCGGUGGUAUAAGAUGGACCCGCGUUGGAUUAGCUAGUUGGCAGGGUAACGGCCUACCAAGGCGACGAUCCAUAGCCGGCCUGAGAGGGUGAACGGCCACAUUGGGACUGAGACACGGCCCAGACUCCUACGGGAGGCAGCAGUGGGGAAUAUUGCACAAUGGGGGAAACCCUGGAUGCAGCGACGCCGCGUGAAGGAAGAAGUAUCUCGGUAUGUAAACUUCUAUCAGCAGGGAAGAUAGUGACGGUACCUGACUAAGAAGCCCCGGCUAACUACGUG
rnacentral:rRNA from 1 species